rnacentral:rRNA from 1 species
GGUUGCGAUCAUACCAGCACUAAUGCACCGGAUCACAUCAGAACUCCGCAGUUAAGCGAGCUUGGGCGAGAGUAGUACUAGGAUGGGUGACCCCCUGGGAAGUCCUCGUGUUGCAACCC